GUCGAGAAUAAUUCACAAUGGGGGCAACCCUGAUGGUGCAACGCCGCGUGGAGGAUGAAGGUCUUCGGAUUGUAAACUCCUGUCAUCCGGGAGCAAGACCUGGCCGUGAAUAGCGGACAGGGUUGAUAGUACCGGAAGAGGAAGGGACGGCUAACUUCGUGCCAGCAGCCGCGGUAAUACGAAGGUCCCGAGCGUUGUUCGGAAUCACUGGGCGUAAAGGGAGCGUAGGCGGCGCGGUAAGUCAGAUGUGAAAUCCUAGGGCUCAACCCUGGAACUGCAUCGGAUACUGCUGUGCUUGAGCAAUGGAGAGGUAGCCGGAAUUCUCGGUGUAGCAGUGAAAUGCGUAGAUAUCGAGAGGAACACUCGUGGCGAAAGCGGGCUACUGGACAUUUGCUGACGCUGAGGCUCGAAGGCCGGGGGAGCGAAAGGGAUUAGAAACCCCUGUAGUCC
rnacentral:rRNA from 1 species